rnacentral:rRNA from 1 species
GUUUGAUCCUGGCUCAGGAUGAACGCUGGCGGCGUGCCUAAUACAUGCAAGUCGAACGCUUCACAUAUGUGAAGAGUGGCGAACGGGUGAGUAAUACAUAAGUAACCUGGCAUCUACAGGGGGAUAACUGAUGGAAACGUCAGCUAAGACCGCAUAGGUGUAGAGAUCGCAUGAACUCUAUAUGAAAAGUGCUACGGGACUGGUAGAUGAGGGACUUAUGGCGCAUUAGCUUGUUGGUAGGGUAACGGCCUACCAAGGCGACGAUCCGUAGCCGACCUGAGAGGGUGACCGGCCACACUGGGACUGAGACACGGCCCAGACUCCUACGGGAGGCAGCAGUAGGGAAUUUUCGGCAAUGGGGGAAACCCUGACCGAGCAACGCCGCGUGAAGGAAGAAGUAAUUCGUUAUGUAAACUUCUGUCAUAGAGGAAGAACGGUGGAUAUAGGGAAUGAUAUCCAAGUGACGGUACUCUAUAAGAAAGCCACGGCUAACUACGUGCCAGCAGCCGCGGUAAUACGUAGGUGGCGAGCGUUAUCCGGAAUUAUUGGGCGUAAAGAGGGAGCAGGCGGCACUAAGGGUCUGUGGUGAAAGAUCGAAGCUUAACUUCGGUAAGCCAUGGAAACCGUAGAGCUAGAGUGUGUGAGAGGAUCGUGGAAUUCCAUGUGUAGCGGUGAAAUGCGUAGAUAUAUGGAGGAACACCAGUGGCGAAGGCGACGAUCUGGCGCAUAACUGACGCUCAGUCCCGAAAGCGUGGGGAGCAAAUAGGAUUAGAUACCCUAGUAGUCCACGCCGUAAACGAUGAGUACUAAGUGUUGGGGGUCAAACCUCAGUGCUGCAGUUAACGCAAUAAGUACUCCGCCUGAGU